rnacentral:rRNA from 1 species
UGGGGAAUUUUGGACAAUGGGCGAAAGCCUGAUCCAGCAAUGCCGCGUGUGUGAAGAAGGCCUUCGGGUUGUAAAGCACUUUUGUCCGGAAAGAAAUCCUUGGCUCUAAUACAGUCGGGGGAUGACGGUACCGGAAGAAUAAGCACCGGCUAACUACGUGCCAGCAGCCGCGGUAAUACGUAGGGUGCAAGCGUUAAUCGGAAUUACUGGGCGUAAAGCGUGCGCAGGCGGUUUGCUAAGACCGAUGUGAAAUCCCCGGGCUCAACCUGGGAACUGCAUUGGUGACUGGCAGGCUAGAGUAUGGCAGAGGGGGGUAGAAUUCCACGUGUAGCAGUGAAAUGCGUAGAGAUGUGGAGGAAUACCGAUGGCGAAGGCAGCCCCCUGGGGCCAAUACUGACGCUCAUGCACGAAAGCGUGGGGAGCAAACAGGAUUAGAUACCCUGGUAGUCCACGCCCUAAACGAUGUCAACUAGUUGUUGGGGAUUCAUUUCCUAGUAACGUAGCUAACGCGUGAAGUUGACCGCCUGGGGAGUACGGUCGCAAGAUUAAAACUCAAUGAAUUGACGGGGUCAUAGCUG